rnacentral:rRNA from 1 species
CAGCCGCCGCGGUAAUACGAAGGGUGCAAGCGUUAAUCGGAAUUACUGGGCGUAAAGCGUGCGUAGGCGGUUUGUUAAGUCUGUUGUGAAAUCCCCGGGCUCAAUCUGGGAAUAGCAAUGGAUACUGGCAAGCUAGAGUGUGUCAGAGGAUGGUGGAAUUCCCGGUGUAGCGGUGAAAUGCGUAGAGAUCGGGAGGAACAUCAGUGGCGAAGGCGGCCAUCUGGGACAACACUGACGCUGAGGCACGAAAGCGUGGGGAGCAAACAGGAUUAGAUACCCCCGUAGUCCCUGUCUCUUAUAC